rnacentral:rRNA from 1 species
GGCAGAUCCAAUUUUCUGCCACCGAAUACAUUAGCAUGGGAUAAUGGAAUAGGACCCUGUCCUCCUWUUUUCAGUUGGUUUUGGCAGCGCGAGGACUAGGGUAAUGAUUAAUAGGGAUAGUUGGGGGCAUUAAUAUUUAAUUGUCAGAGGUGAAAUUCUUGGAUUUAUGAAAGAUUAACUUCUGCGAAAGCAUCUGCCAAGGAUGUUUUCAUUAAUCAAGAACGAAAGUUAGGGGAUCGAAGACGAUCAGAUACCGUCGUAGUCUUAACCAUAAACGAUGCCGACCAGCGAUUAGGAGACGUUGAAUACAAAACACCACCAUCGGCGCGGUCGUCCUUGGCGUCUGUCCCUUUCAACGGGGGCAGGCGCGAGGGCGGUUUAGCCCGGUGGCACCGGUGAAUGACUCCCCUAGCAGCUUGUGAGAA